rnacentral:sRNA from 1 species
UCAUAAGGUGCAUAUGUGGUUGACGU